GAUGAACGCUGGCGGCGUGCCUAAUACAUGCAAGUCGAGCGAACGGACGAGAAGCUUGCUUCUCUGAUGUUAGCGGCGGACGGGUGAGUAACACGUGGAUAACCUACCUAUAAGACUGGGAUAACUUCGGGAAACCGGAGCUAAUACCGGAUAAUAUUUUGAACCGCAUGGUUCAAAAGUGAAAGACGGUCUUGCUGUUACUUAUAGAUGGAUCCGCGCUGCAUUAGCUAGUUGGUAAGGUAACGGCUUACCAAGGCAACGAUGCAUAGCCGACCUGAGAGGGUGAUCGGCCACACUGGAACUGAGACACGGUACAGACUCCUACGGGAGGCAGCAGUAGGGAAUCUUCCGCAAUGGGCGAAAGCCUGACGGAGCAACGCCGCGUGAGUGAUGAAGGUCUUCGGAUCGUAAAACUCUGUUAUUAGGGAAGAACAUAUGUGUAAGUAACUGUGCGCAUCUUGACGGUACCUAAUCAGAAAGCCACGGCUAACUACGUG
rnacentral:rRNA from 1 species